UACGGAGGGUGCAAGCGUUAUCCGGAUUCACUGGGUUUAAAGGGUGCGUAGGUGGGCUAGUAAGUCCGUGGUGAAAUCUCCAAGCUUAACUUGGAAACUGCCGUGGAUACUAUUAGUCUUGAAUAUUGUGGAGGUAAGCGGAAUAUGUCAUGUAGCGGUGAAAUGCUUAGAUAUGACAUAGAACACCGAUAGCGAAGGCAGCUUGCUACACAAUCAUUGACACUGAGGCACGAAAGCGUGGGGAUCAAACAGG
rnacentral:rRNA from 2 species